UAUACAUCCAGUGUUGACAAAUCUGAAACGAAUCCUGAGUGAAUGUGACAUACUUUGUAAACGAAUUUGAUGGUGGGUACGAAAUGCAGAUGCUACCUAUGAAUUGUCAAUGUCAUCACACUUGCUUUAUAUUCUGUAAAUGCUUAAAAGUUCCAUUGUUUUGAAAGAAACCUGUAUAGUGCAGUAGCUGUCUCAGCGAGGGUAAGUGUAAUUUUAGUGCGACUGUAUAUUUAAUUUCCCAGACAAAAAGUUGA